AAAUGAUGAAUUACAAAUGUUUGCAACGCCCAUCAAUGUGUGGGGAAGAAGUUCAUGAUUGACAAAGAAAAAUAAUGGGCCUUUAAUGGAAGGUAAUGACUGAAACAAAUCUGCUUCUUCAGCUGUAACAAGGGAACAUAUACAAAGAAGAUGAAUAAGAACCAACCUAAGCUUCCCAACCCCUUAGCGUCGUGGCACGAGCAACUCGCUUCACUCCCAAUGUGAAGGCUCCCAUUCGAAGACUGCAGUUGUGUGAUUGACACAUUGCCUUAAUGUUAUGAAAAGCUUUGGUCAUGUACUUCUGAAGCUCAUAAUUCACCUUCUCUUCUUCCCACAUAAAACCUUGAAUAUUCUGCCAACAUAAAACCAUUAAUCCUAAGAUGUUACUACUACUUUCCCCAUCAAUUAUCUGUGUUUCAAACGAUAUAAUUUUUCAUAAAACCCAUGAUAUAUAAGAAAUAUAGAGGGAAUUACCUGAACCCACUCAAAAUAGCUCACGGUCACACCUCCAGCAUUAGCAUAGAUGUCAGGCAGGAUUACGACUCCUUUCUUGGAUAGAAUCUGCAGAGAUAUCAUCAAUGCCAACUUCUUCUUCUAUGGUAUUUAAGUAUGUACCAUACACAAAUACUAUGUUACCUCAUCAGCUUCUGGAUCAGUAGGAUGAUUUGCUGCUUCUAUUAUGAACUUUGCCUUAACAUCCGCAGCAUUUUCUCUUCAGAGGGAAAAAAACAUAAAUGAGUUUAGAUGAAAUCAUCUGGAUGAGUUAGGUUAAAGGAAGUAAAAUCAUGCCCUUUUCCACUUUUUACCAUCAAAAGAUUUGCGAGGUUUCUAACCAGAAAAACUAUUGGAUAUUCACUUAAUGACUAAAUACAGCACAAGCACAUUUCAUGAAACUUCUCCCCACAAUAAAAGGGUAACAGAACAUGUGUAACAUCUUUACCUAACUUUGGCAAUUCAUUGUAUGGCAAUUUGAUACAAUUGCAGCAUUCUGAUUCAAUCUUUCAGAUUCAACACGGUAUCUCAAACUAAGUUGCGUCAUGUUUCUUCAUGGUAUUGAGAUGUCUCUACUUCAUUUUAUGUGUAUGUUCAUUGUUUUUAUGAUCUUAAUGUAUGGAAAAGACAAGUUUCUCAAUUCAAAAAAGGCACAUGUCAAAAGAAACCCAAAACAAAAAAGGCACCAAGUAAAGAAGAAACUGAAAGGCAAGGAGCAAGUUUCUGAGGAAAACAAGGACUCAACUUGUUAAGAACUCCACCUAGAGCACAUGGGAUGAGAACAUCACAUUCAUGUGUGAGCAGUUCAUUCGGAUCCAUGUGAUCUCCGCCACUGAAAUUCGUUAGACAACCAGUCUCUUCUUUGUGCCUAAGCAAAUCCACUAUAUCAAGCCCAUUUUGGUUCUUAACAGCUCCAGUGAUGUCACUCACCGCUAUGAUUUUACCACCUCUCUCAUGGAUGAGUCUUGCUACCCAAGAUCCAACAUUGCCAAAACCCUGAAAAGUUUUUUUAUUUUCCAUUUAAAUAACCGAACUUUCUAACUACGCAUCAAGAACAGAAAUAGAAAGGAUUUAAUCCAAUAUUUUACCUGAAUAACAAAUGUCAAACCCUUGAUUGACUUCCCAUGUUGCGCAAGUAAAGCUUCAGUUGCGAAAACAACACCUUGACCAGUUGCAGCCUCCCUACCGAGGGAUCCACCAAGAUCCUAAAAGCCCAAAUGUAAAUGAGGCCACAGAACAAGAAACAACAGUUACAAAUUCGUUUCUCAACUUCAAAGGUUUACACAAAUCUAAAUCAUAGAUGCUCGGUUUUUUGUCGCAAAUACUUACUAUUGGCUUUCCAGUCACUACAGCCGGUGAGUGACCAUGGAAUUUUGAGUACUCGUCGAAAAUCCAUGCCAUAGUCUGCUCAUAUUUAUAAAUAUUUCAGUUCCAUGAAUGAAGAAUAUUUCAAGAGUGUUACAGACAAAAGAUAACCUGAGCAUUAGUUCCCAUGUCUGGUGCAGGUAUAUCGAUAUGAGUUCCAAUAAGAUCAUGAAUCUUUUGAGUAAAGACACGAGUAAGACGUUCCAACUCACUCAUACUCAAGUCCCUUGGGGUGCACCCAAUGCCACCCUUUGCACCACCAUAGGGAAUGUCAACUACAGCGGUCUUCCACGUCAUCAAUUGAGCCAGCGCAUUUACCUCAUCAGGAUCCACCUUUGAAAACAAAUGAAGAAACGUAUCAGUAAAACUAAAUGCAACCAGGUUUUUAUUUGCAAGAAAUCAAAGCAAACAAGUUUGAAGAUAAAAUAAUUCCUUCUAACUCAGCACCAAAGUCCCCCAACAAAAUAAAUACAGAGCCAUAUAUCCAGAAAAUUACCGCGAACAACUUCUUGAAAGGAAAACAAAACAACUCAUUGAAUUUGAUUAUGCAAAUUGAGAACACACAAAUUAACAUAACAUCCAAAAUAGAAUUCAUCAUGCCACUCAUCCCAAAAAGACUUUCGACUGUAUAAUAAUUAUCAGUUUUAUCACAUAUUUCGGUUGGACCAUGUUUGCCAAAAUCACUGAAAACAAUUUCCAAGAUUCCAAAAAAAUAAAAUAAAAAUGCACACCCAACAUUUCGAUAUAGAAAUCUUGAACGUGAGAUUUCGAGAUAAUCAUCUCUGUACAAGAUACAAUAAGGGCAUGUUUGGAUCCAUUAUGAAAUGAAAUCAUUCCACUAUGAUUAUUGCAUUUGAACAACUCCCUUUCCAUGGUACACCCAAAAACCACUUAGACAAAACCCAAAUCAACCGGAAAUUCCAAGAACCUAAAAGGAAACCCCCUAAAAUCCGUUUGCUUGCCGAGAAAAUAGGGGGAAAAGACAAGAAAAAACAAACUACAAUCCUACAAUCCCGAAUCUCAUGUUCUGUGCUACAAGAAAUUACAAAGUCAAGUAAGCCCCACAACAUACCUAGACUCUACUACCCUAACAAAAACAAAAAAAUUCAAAUCUCUCCUUUUCAUUCCCAACUUUUCUCAGCAAUCAAACAGGACAAAAUCCGAAAACAAACAAAAGAAUCAGUGAAUCACAAACCUCAGGGUGAUAUCUGAUCCCUCCCUUCAUGGGCCCACGAGCAUUAUCAUGCUGCACACGGAACCCCACAUACGUCGCCAAACUUCCAUCAUCCUUCGGAAUCGUGCACUCCACCUAACAACACCACCACCAAAAGAUCAAAAUUCUGGAAAAAAUUCUUAGGAAACAAACACAACCCAUGAACCCAAAAACAAGAUUCUGGCUAAAGAAAAUAAAUAAAUAAAUAAAUAAAUCCCGGGAAUCAAACGGAACCCAUGAACAAAAACCCCAGAAUUCCAACCUUGAUCUCUCUGAAAGAAAUCAGAAGACUCUUCUCCAGCUUGGAGUCCAACCCAAGAAUGCGGGAAGCAUGGCGAAAAUUGCGGUUAGUGGCUGCUAGAGCAUUCAUUGCCACAAAAACAAAACCCAGAAUAGAAAACGAUUGCUAGAAAAAGAAGCAGACCCAGAAAAACAAAAAAAAGAAAUGCAAGAAAAUGAAAGAAAAAAUUGGAGAAUUGAAGAGUAGAAAGAGAUUACAACAGAAAUGUGAAUGAACUGACUGAUGGGUAAGUAGAGUAUUGAUAGAUAGAAGUAGAGAGCAAGAGGGAGGGACCGGAGGAGGGCAGUUAAGGCGCUCAAGAUGGCGUGUUCAGGUUGUUACAAAUUACAGUCCCCUCUGGAUUAUGCAGAGCUGACUACUCGUGCCAUUCCCGCUACCCAAAAUUACUAAAACACCCUUUUCCUUCCCAAACUUAUUUUCUAAUUUCUCUUUUCUAUUUUAAAAAUUAGAAGCUAAAAUGGAAAAUAAUCCUCACUUUAAAAAAUACCUUCAAUUUUUUUAAUUAUAAAUAUAAGAUUAAUUAAUUAUAAAAAGAAUUUAUUUUUCUUUUUAAAAAAGUGUCUUAAUAUAAAAAAAAUAGAGGAUAUUUUAAGCCUCUAUAAAAUCUAUCUUAAUUUAAUUUUAAAUAGACAACAAACCUGUAGACCCCCACUCUGGGUGAUUCUUGCAGCGGCCUAGCUUGCCAAUUGGAGGAACCUUGGGAGGCCACGUGUCGACCCAUGAUUGGCUGCCAGUGAAUCUCAGGAGUGGGCUGGAGGUGCAAAUGAAAAUGGGACACGUUGCAUGGGAAUCUGGAAGCCGUUAUGGAGGAGGCGUCUCUGGCAGCUGGAGGAGGGGGUGCUUUUUGGUGCAGGCUUUUUGGACGUGCUGCCGGGAAGAUAUUGGGAGGAGAUGACAGGCUGUAGCGGAGGGAGUUUUGGAGGAGAAGACUUGAGAGGGGAAAGGUGAGAAAAAGCUUAGAGGAGGAGGGUGACUGGACCAGAGAGUGAAAGGGAAGUAUAGCAGAAGAACAGAGGAGUCUGCUUGCUCAUUUCUGCUAGAAAGGAGCUCUCCCAGGUGCGGGCAUGGUCGUUUUUAGUUCAUAUUUUCCUGUCACAUUGUUUUUCAGGGUUUUUCUGUGUGUUUAACUCUCAUUCACUAUUUAGAUGUGCUUACCCUGCUAAUAUCUGAUUCUCUUGGGUUUCAUUUGAAGUUAUCACGUACAUGGAUUGUAUGAAUUGAUUUAAUUUUCUCCUUCAUCCCACCAGUUUUGAGCCCAUAGAUUGACCUUGAGAUGAGACUACAUGAGUUCUCUAUCUUUCAUGAUUAUUAUUUUCUUCUAUUUUUCUUUCUUUCUUCUCUUUCACUAUUUGUUGUUGCUCAAAGAGAUGCUCUGUUUCUUCGUAACUGUUUCAUCAAUACCUUGCAUGAGGUGAGAUUUAUGGAAGGGCAAAGACGGGUAAGUUUGUGUUAAAGGAGGCUCAUAGAGAUGCCAACGAAAGAGCGGGACAUGGGAUGAUGACUGGUUUUGUUAGGACAUUGUUUUUAGAGAGAGAACCAGAAUGAAAGCCUAAGGCAAGAGGGGGAGUAACAGAGCAUUUUUUUUCAGAAGAGAUAGCUUGAGAAUAAGGAAAAGACAGAGGAGGCUUCCUUCAGCUAGAGGAUGGGAGCCUGAGAGGUUUUGAGGUGAGAUUCUGGAGGAGUCGUUGGAGCAGCUCUCGCGGUCACUGACCUCCGUCGCGGGAGACGGUGAUGGUCAGGCCGUCGGAAUCACGUAGGACUAGUUGACGUGGCUGAGCGCUGCGAUGACGAACCAGGACGCGUGUACCGAGGGUUUCGACGACGUGAGUGGAUUCUUGAAGGAUCGGUCUGACACAUUGAAGCUGGGGGAGAGUUCACUAUUUCUAGUGCUGAUGACAUCCUCAAAGCCAAUGUUUUAACAACCGGACCGGACCGCCGGUCCAACUGUUGACAGGUCGCAUUUCCGAUCCGGUCCACCCUAUUAAACCGUUUAGCUAUUGGACUGAUUACGAACCGUCUAAACUAGCGGUCGAACCGAUGAACAGGACGAUUCUAACGAACCGAACAAUCCAUAUUGGCCCAUCAUUUUGCAAGCCCAUUGUAUAAAAAAUUAAAAGCUGUAGGCCAAGCCAUGUAUUAGCAUGACAAAGCCUACACCCAGUCUUGAGCCCACAAGGUAGGCGUGUAGCUUUCAAUGAAGAUACCUUUUAGAGGCAUCCUUUGCACCCUUAUUUCUCUCAUAAACAGGAUUGAAAACUAAUGUGAUAAUAUCAAUGAAAAAAAUUUAACAAAUGCAACAAGAGGAUUUUGAAGGUGGGGGACCUCAAGUUUUGUAAGUAGACUAGGACACCACUUGACUACCCGUGAUUUGUUAUUGAAUAUGCCAAAUAAAACAAUAUAUAUUGGAUUUUUUUUUAUAAUAUUAAAUAAAAAUAAUAUAAUAUUUUUAAAAAUUAUAAAAUUAGUUAAAAUUUUCAUUUUUAAUAUAUUCACAUUUAAAUAUUGUAUAUAUUUCAUUUAAUAUGAUUUAAUUUGAUAAUAUCAAAUAUAUAAAAUAAUAUUAUUGAUUUUUAAUUUAUUCAUAUAUAUUUUUAAAUUUUUAUAAUUAUUUUUAAUUUUAAUAAUAUAUAAAUUACAUAUUUAUGAUGUUACCGGUACAACCGCGGUUCGACCACCGGUUCGACCGGUGAACCGUGAAUCGGUAACUUUUCCGAUUCAAUGACGGGUCCGAUUUCGAAAACAUUGCUCAAAGCUAUCUUAAUCACUGUUUCUAGUGUCGAUGACAUCCUCAAAGCUAUCUGAAUCCUUGAAUUUUGCAUACCUCAAGGGAGAAGUUAAUUUGACUGCCCUUGGAAGACUGAUGGCAAGAUGUCCUAAUCUCAAGAGUUCUAGGUUGAACCGUGCGGUGCCCCUUGAUGCACUCCAAAGAAUUCUUGCGCAUGCACCUCAACUUGUGGACUUAGACACUGGUUCUUAUGUUCAUGAUCCAGAUGCUGAGACGGUCAUCAAACUUAUAAGUACCUUCCAGAAGUGUAAAUCAAUGAGGAGCAUGUCAGGUUUUCUGGAAGUUGCUCCUCUAUGCCCGCCAGCUAUUUACCCCAUUUGCUCAAAUCUGACCUCCUUGAACCUGAGUUAUGCUCCGGGGAUGCAUGGAGAUGAGCUGAUAAAGCUAAUCCACCACUACAAGAAACUUCGGCGACUGUGGAUAUUAGAUUGCAAUGGUGGACACAAAGAAAGAAGUUUGAUCACCAUCUUGGCAAAUUGCUGAGGGACUUGGAAGAUUUAUGGUUGGGUCCCUGGGGAUACUUGCUUUUGGGGGAAUGUUUGGACUGUGAACGCUUGGAUUUGAUACAUAAGAAGCUGGUGCAGGAUCUGAAAUCUGCUCCUUCACUGUAAGUCUUGGAAAUGGCCAGUGUACCCAAAAUAGAACCAAUGAGAAUCAGGCUCAGUUUUUGGUUGAAGCGCCAAUAGCCGUUCUUCCUUGGUGUCCUAUUCGUGGACUUUUCACUCAUGAGCCUUAUCAGGUAUGGGGAUUGCCAUCUCAUGGAAAUGGUCCUACCUUCAGCCAUCAAUUAAAUCUCCUUCCUCCUCCCUGCAAUGCUCCUGCCCAAGGCCUCCCUGGCAUGUUGCACUAUGGCAAUUGGGGUACCUUUUCUCCAACAAGUGAGAAUUCUAGCAGGGCCAAUCCGACUGUUCCCUCCAUGAUGGGACUGUCUUGGGUUGCUUCUGGCAGAGCACCAAGUCUGCAAUCAGUCACUCAGCCAGUUGUUCUCGACCAUGGAUCUGGUGCUUUUGGCCCUUUGCUCUCUCCGAUUGGUUCAUCUGUGACGUAUACAACAUCACCACCUGCUCAGCCUGCUGACUUUUACAUGUUUCCUCCUUCAGGCUCAGGCUUGUUGGGCCAGAUUCCCAGGCAAGCAGUUCCAAGUCCAAUCAUCCAUAACCGCAUAUUGGGACUUGACAGAAGAAUGCCGUUUCGGAUGAACUAUAUAUGCUGUUUCUUAAGGAGUUCCAAGCCUUCUGGCUUCUUCACCACCUUCUACUUCUCAGGAGGUGAUCUCAAGUGGUGACAAUGUCCAAGAUUUGAAACCCAUAGUGAGUGGUAUAUCAUAGACCUUACGUCCUGUGGUUCCUGCUGCAACAAAUGAAGAGGACCACCUAAGAGAUGCUCUCAAGUUUGCUAGUGCUUGUGGUGCAUUGACCGUCAAUGGAGGGAAAUGUGCAAACAAGCAGCCGCGGAUCACCAACUUCAGAGUAGAGUACCAUUUGCACCUCAGGUCCACGUGCAUGGCCACCUUUAUCAUGGCCACGUGACAUUCUCGGUUUUCUUCUUAUUUGAUUUUGAAAAUGUUUUCUCAAAUCUCAUUUUGCAAAUAUCUUUCUCUAAAUCUGAUUUUCAAAUAAUCGCAAUUUUCUCAUCUUUCAUCCUUAGAAUUUUUAGGAUCAUCCAAGAGUCUCAUUUUCAAUAAAAUUUGGCCGUCAUUUUCUUUUCGGCUAGCCACUUAUGAAGUUUUCAUGAUUUUAAAAUAUUUUAAAAUAAACAUGAAUUUAAAUUCCAUAAUUCCAAUUAAUGGAAUUUACGAAAUUAAUUCAUACAAAAGUAAACGGGCUUUGAUGGAGGCCCGACAUAUAUGAUUUUAUGAUUGAUUGAUUUAAUUGUUAUGCGUGAUUGAUUUCUUCUGCUUUGUGAUACGUAUAUAUUCAUCCUAUAUUGAUUUACUAACCCCCCUCUUGAUAGCGCAUAUUGGUUCGUCACCUAGGUACGUAUUUUCUCACAUCAUGGUCACUCCUUAUGCUUGUUUUAAUUCUCAUACGUGCAUGAUCGAUUUGGGUAUUCAUUGACUUUCUCAUUGGUUGCCAUGUCAGCUCCAUUUUAUUAGUAGAGACACGACUUUAGGGACUUAGAGGGGUGCUACGGUCUUUACCGUACCUUCUUGAUAAGUAACCUGACCCCCGAACCCAAUCCGGUUUUUCACAGACCACCUUUUUCAAAACAAGGAAUCACCCUUAAGGUUUUUCUUUCUUAUUUUGUUUACCCUUUUAAAAAUAAAACAAAAAUAAGUGGCGACUUCAAGUCAUUUUCUUAACAAAUAAAAAUCAUUUUUCAAAUUAAAUAAAAAUCGAGCUCGUCAUCGAGUGGAAAACGCAUGAGCUGGAAAUGCGAGGUCCACAAAACCCUUUUUUUUUUUUUUUUAUAAAAUAAUUGUCUAUGAAAUAAAUGUGAAUUUAUUAGAGGGUAUUUCAUGCCCAGAAAAAAGUUAUUUUAAAAUUGAAUUUUUUUUUAAUUUAAAAAUUAUUUUAUUCAAUUUAAUCAAUUUUUUUACUUUAACAAAGAUAGAAAAAACGGUUAUUUAAGGAAAUAAAAAAUUGGGACGUAUUUUGUAAUUGUUUUUUAAAAAGGUUUUGAAAAAUAGUAUUUAAUAACAGUUUUUGAAAAUUGUUUUUUUAUGUUUUGUAGAACAAAAGUCUAUUUUAAGAGUUUAAAAAUGUUUUUAAUAUUUUUUAAAUAUGUUUUAAAAAUAAUUUUUUGUUAACCAAACUUUUAUAAACUUUAUGCGGAAAUAAUUAUUUCAAAAAUAAUUUUGGAUGCAUAAAACAAAAUAAAUAUAAGUACUAAAAUCAUGAUUAUAUUCUUACCUUGAUCCAUGCAAAAACAUUUUUGAAGUGAGAUUGAGUCACCUUAUUAAUUGUAUUGUCAAGCUCUUUAACUCAUUAUUUUCAUAUAGUGGAUGAGUCACUUCUAUGGUGUAUGUUGUUAAAAAUAAAACAACGGACAUAAGAAUAAGAGUGUGACUUGAGACCUUAAUUUAUAAAAAGUUUCACAUCUGUCUUCCCUUCAAAGAUUAUGUGAGAAUUAUACUCAUUAUUUAUAACCAUUAUGUACAAAUUAAUGGGUAUAGUGAGUUAUGAAUUUGAAUGCAUCUACAUAAUUGCAUAGUUUAUACUUUUCCAUUUUCCUCCAUUACUCAUAAACAUAAUGUACAAAUUAAAUUUCAUAAUGAUGGAGUUACAAAAGUUGUAAUAUCAUAUUCAUAUAAAUUAAAUUUUCUAACUUCAUAUUUAUAAUUUGAGUCUUCCAUACAUAAGACUCUUGAUGCCCAAUCAAUUGAUUCACCUACCUAUCAAUUGAUACCCUUAAAUAAUAUUUAUACAAAUAUAAUUAUAUAUGACCACACAUUAAGGAAUUUUGAUUGUUUCCUCGAUGUUUCAUUGUUUCCUAUUAUUUUUAUUUUUUUAAUAUUGAAAAUAGUGACUAAAUUUUGAUCCUUUUUCCCAUUUAAAAACUAAUUUUUUUAAUUACUAUAUAUUUUUAUUUAAAUAUUCCAAUUGGACCUUUGGAGACAUGAUGGGUAGUCAUCAAAUUUCCUAUAUUUUUAUUAUUUUAUAUUUAUGAUUAUCUUUCCUUCAUUCAUUAAAAUGCUAUCACCUACCUUACAUAACUACCAAUUAGACAUAUAAAAGAUCAUUGGUCAUGUAGGGAUCCUAUUAGUGCAACUGUGAUUCCAGUAAGUUUAGAUUUUUUUAUUAUUGAGAUAGGUGAAUUCUUAUAGAUCUAUCUUUGAAAAAAUCGAACACGAUAAUUUUUCAUCAUUGGACUCUCGAGCAAGAAUUAAAAGAACAAAAUGUAUGACUAUAUAAUUUUUAUUUAAAUAUUAAUAAAUAUUAUGGAAUUUUUGACAACUAAUACUUCAUUUUUGAACUAAAGCCACAAUUACCAACUGAGACUUUAUUUUUAAACUAAAACCUCAAUUGACAACUGAUACAUAAUUUUUGAACUAAACCCGCAAUUACCAAAUGAUGCUUUAGUUAAUUUUUUUUUUAAAUUUAAAAUUUAAUUAAAAAUUGUUAAAUUACAAUUUAUGAUUGAAAUUUAAAAAAUAUAUUUAAAAAAUAAAAUAUUUAUAUUUAAACUUAAGAAUCUAGUAUUACUUCAAUAAACAUAAAUUAAUAAAUAGAAGAUAUUAUAAAUGAAUAUUUUAUUUAUUAAUAAAUUAAUAAUCUUAAAAUAAUAAAUUUAUAUACCAUAUAAAUAAUAUAUAAAAUUGUAUAAUUUAUUAAUUUAAGAUAUUUAAUUUUUUGUUUUUUAAUAUAUUAAUUUAUUUGUAUUAUGACAAAUUUAUUUUUAUCGAAAUAAUAGUAUACAUUUAAGCCACAGUUGCUAACUGAGAUUUCGAUUAUAAUAUUUUUUUACUUUCAAAUUUAGUUAAAAACUAUUAAAUUACAAUUUAUUAUUGAAAUUAAAAAUAUAUACUUUAAUAAUAAAUUAUUUAUAUUUAAACUUAAGAAUCUAGUAUUACUUCAAUAGAUAUAAAUUUAUAAAUAGAAGAUAUUAUAAAUGAAUAUUUUAUUUAUUAAUAAAUUAAUAAUCUUAAAAUAAUAAACUUAUAUAUCAUUCAUCUUUGAUUCCAGCCUGCUUACUCAUUAGAAAAUUGUUGUUUGUUUAAAAAUAGGGAGAAAGAAAAGAAUUUUUUUUUUUUACGAAAUUUACUAGCACUAAUAGUUACCUUUUUUUUUUUUUGACUGUUUCCUCCAACAUUCAUGCAUUUAUUUUAGCUGGUGGUAAAGCAAACCUCGGGUGAUAUGGACUCAUCCUUCUAUGAAGGAUCUAUCCCUUUUAUCUUAUAAAAUGGAUAAUGUUGGGAAGCAUUUAUUGGUUAGUUUCUCACAAGCCCAUACAUGAAGAGAUCCAAUGAGCAAGAAGUGAUGAAUGACAAUUUUUUUUCUCUUACUCUUCAUACUGUGUCUAGGGCCCAUCAUGUCUCCAAAUUUUUCGUUGCCAUCUCAUUCCAGUUGCCGAAUUGAUUCGAUACAUAUUGAAAAACACGACCAAUCAAAUCACAUCAGGUCUAUAUAUAGAUUUUAAUGUGUCAAAAUAAAUAUGAUUAAUAUUUUAAUUAUUAAUUAUUAUUCAUGUAUUGUGUUGACUUGUCAUAAAAUUAAAUAAUAUUUUUUAAAAAAAAAACAAGAUAUUAAGUAAAUUAGCAAUUGAAAAUAUGAAAAUAAAAAUAAAUAACAGUAUAUUUUAUAAAGUUUAUUUAAAAGUGAAGUAUUUAAAUAUGAUAUAUUUAUAAAAAUGACUCUACUACACCUUCAAAUUUUAAUUAUUAUAUUCAUUUAAAUAUCCAAAUAUAUAAAUAUUUUAUAAAUUUAGUAAUGAUAUUUCAAAUUCACAAAAGUUAAAAACUUAACAUUAAGCCCCUGAAAAAUCCAAAAGCGAGUUUAGGAUAGUAAAAGAUAUUACAAUUAUAUAGUUAUGUUUAUUUUUUAAUAAGUAAUAAUAAGUCAUUGAUGUAGAUGACAUAAAUUAUAUUAUAGUUAGUGUUAAUUUAAUAAUAAUUGACUUGAAAGACCUAAAACCCUCAAACAAACCUUUUCUUUUGAUACUUGACGACUCAACUGUAGCUUCAACCUAUCGGGCACUGUAAUGAGCACCUUCAAGCUAAAAACCAAUUAAGACCUAAAAGCAUUUUAUUACCAACCAAAAAAGAAAAAAAAAAAAAGUGAACUGAUUCAUUGGAAAAAUCAAGGUUGGACCAUUUAAGUGCGUUGUAGAUCCAGAUCCAGAUGCUACAAAAUCGAGCCCUGUUUUUCCAUGCAGGUUACCUAUAUGAUGCUUAACUAACAAGGUCGAGGCUCAAACUAGCCCUCAAGACAUUAAUCCUCGCAAUAUACAACUGUAGGCCUGGUGUGAGACACCCAAGCUCACAUGUAUGUCUUGAGUUAGGAUGCGUUGGAAAACAACUUUAAGGAAGGAUAUAAAAUUCAUUCUCCCAAAGUCCCAAUAGAAAAGAGACAAAAAACAUACUAGAAUAAAUGCCAAAUAUUAGAAUCACAAAUCUGUCAUUUUUCCUAAAAAAAUUUCAUUUUCCCUAGAAACUUCAACAAAUGUCUACAUCUUAAAGGACUUUAAUAUUUGGAUGAUAACAAACCAUUUAUGCUAAAAUAGCCGUGAAGAACAUAAACAAAAGAGAAAACCAAAAGUAAUUGGGAAAUUUAAUUUUAUUUUUCUGAAAACCCAGAUUCCGAGAUGGGAAAAAAAUAGGAAAGUGAUAAAAACUUUACAUAAAACAAGCCAAAAAGAAGAUUGGGACCAACCUCAACCUUGAUGUUUUGUAGCUCCAACAAUGUCUCUCUCACAAUGGCCCACUGGUGGGACUAGGGUUUUGAAGAAAAAAAUUACACAGAGAACAGAGCAAGAGAUGGGAAGUUGGGAAAGUAAACAAAAAUAGUAUAAAAAAUUGGGUUUUAUGUUUAUGUGGUUGAUGGGGGACUAUUUUGAACAUUAGUUUUGGAAGAAACCCACUUUUAAUAUUAAGUUUAUGAAGAAGCCCAUUUUGGCCCAAAACUCGCGAGUGGCUAUCUUAGCAAAAAAAACUAAGUUUUGGGGCAAAAUAGCCAUUUCAUGUAAAGAAAUAUCAACUUUAGCCCCCUUAUAAAACUUAUGUUCAAAUUAGCCAUUUUAUUGCCACAUAAGAGNNNNNNNNNNNNCCCCUUAUAAAACUUAUGUUCAAAUUAGCCAUUUUAUUGCCACAUAGGAGCCAUGUUGUAAUUUUUUUUUUCAAAAUUUAAAUUGAAGCCUCAGUUGCCAAUUGAGGCUUCAGUUAUUUUUAUUUUUUUUGCUUUAAAAUUUAAAUAAAAAAUAUUAAAUUUUAAAUUAUUAUUGAAUUUUUUUUAAAAUAUACUUUAAUAAUAAAAAUUUAUAUACUUAAACUUAAAGAUCUAAUAUUACUUCAAUAAAGAUAAUUUGAUAAAUAUAAUAAAUAAAUAUUUUAUUUAUCAAUUAAUUAAUAAUAUUAAAAUAAUAAAUUUAUAUGACAUAUAAAUAAAAUAUAAAAUUAUAUAAUUUAUUAAUUUAAGUUAUAUCACAUGUAAUAUUAGGGAGGGACCUUUUUUUUUCCAUUAUAUAAAUGUUUAAUGAGUUUUUUUUUGUGACUUUGAUGAAACUACUAAAAAUUACAUUUUGUAGUAGUCUUUUUCUAAUUAAUUUUAUUAACUAAUUUCAAAAUGUAUCUUUAAGACAUAUAUAUUGUGUGCAUAAAUAAUAGUUUUUUUUUUACGUUAAAUUAUAAAUAUAUACUUUAAAAUAAUUUAAAAAAAUCUAGAUAUGGAAACUUAAGAAUAUACUAAUAUUUCAAUAAAAAUAAAUUUAUAAAAAUACAAAUAAAUUAGUAUAUUAAAAAUACAACAAAUUAAAUAUCUUAAAUUAAUAAAUUAUAUAAUUUUAUAUCUUAUUUAGAUUUCAUAUAAUACUAAUUUAUUGAUAAAUAAAAUAUUCAUUUAUUAUUAUAUUUACCAAUUUAUCAUUAUUGAAGUAAUAUUACAUCUUUAAGUUUAAAUAUAUAAAUUUUUAUUAGUAAAAUAUAUAUUUUUAAUUUCAAUAAUAAUUUAUAAUUUAAUAUUUUUAAUUAAAUUUUAAAGUAAAAUAAUAAUAAUAAUAACUAAAGCCUCAAUUUCCAAUUGAGGAUUUAGUUAAAAAAUGAAGCCUCAGUUGGAUGAGACUUCAACUAAAUUUUGAAAAAAUAAAUAAAUUAUGACAUGGCUCUUAUGUGGCACUAAAAGGACUAAUUUGAACAUAAGUUUUGUAAGGGGGCUAAAACUGAUAUUUCAUUACAUGAAAGGGUUAUUUUGCCCCAAAACUCAAAAAAGCUCACGUGUUUAGCCACGUCUAUCCUGAUGACAUGGAUAUCUUAUUUUUAGAAUGGCGGUGUUGUCCCAAGUGGUUUCUAUCUUUCUUUUCAUUUUUCUAAUAACCUUUCACGUUCACAGAUGAAAAGUUUUUGUUUAAUUAAAUAAUUUAAAUAGUUUAACUUUUAUUAAAUUUUAGCAAUACUUCUAGAAGUUUCUUCUUAAAAGUUUUAUAGAAAAUACAAGGAAAAAAAAAACCCACCUUAAAUUUUUUUUUUUGUCAAAAUUAUUAUUUUAAAAUAAUAAUAAUAAUAUAAAAAAAUAUCCAUUUAAAAAAGUAAAUUAAUACAUAAAUAUCAAAUAGAGCUUCUAAUUAAAAAUUAAGGAUGUGUUUGGUAAUUGUUUUCGAAAACAAUUUUGAAAAUAGAUUUUUAGAACAGUUUUUGAAAGCUAUUCUCUUAUUUUCGUAGAACAACCCUGAAGUAUCUAGAGAUCUUGUACACUCAAGAUCUUCUGUUUGAUGACUCUAUCUCAAUCUUAGCACCUUAAAGGACAGGUCAAGAAAGCAAAAUCACAAAAGUAGAAGAAGAAAAUCAAUAAAGAAACACCUUUUAUAUAGGUUGCAAAGUCAUGACCACUCCAAGAAUCAAGGCAAACACCCUUAUCAUGGCUUGCCUACUAAUCUCUUGGAAAAAGAAUCCAUUUGUCACAUUGACUUUUGAUUUUCCCGCAUGUUAAAUCCUAAAAGCAAGGAAAUAGGAGGUGAGAAGUUGUAGGAAAAAAAAAAAUGAAAUGUGGAAACAAAAGGCAUUAGUGGCUAGUUAUCAGGAGAGGUAAUCGGGGGUGCCCAUUGAGUGGUGAAUUGGUCUAUAUCCUUGGACCAUCCAUCCUUAACAAGAAAGAUCUCUAACUCUUAGGAGCAUUUAAUGUGAUAUGAUAGAUAUUAAAUAUGAUUGGAUGAUACUCUCAUGGUUACAAAAUGUGUAAGGCCACACCCUAAACCGAGAAAUCUCUAAUCAUUAUCUAAUAUUGAGGUAUGGACAUUUAAGCACCGAUCAACCACCGACAUGGUAAUCGCUCUUAACUAACUUAAACCCUCCCUUUAAAUACCUCUAAAGGCAUCAACAAUAAAGGUAGAAAAGAAUCAUUCCAUCUCUCCCUUUGAUUUCUACUUAUCAUAACCUUGUUUUUCUUCGUUGCACCAUAUGAUCGUUUGAGGUGUAGUGGUCAUUUUGCACCUACUCGCCCUUACCCCCACCUUGACUACCUUAUGUCCAUCCAUUAUAGUAGGAAGUCGACCUAUUAAUUCCUUUAACAAAAGUCUUCUUCACUAAGGCAAUAAAGAGGACACAACAAUAUCUAAUAUCAUUUAACCAAUAUUUUCACCUUAGAUAUAUGUAUCAUUUAAUUUUCAUCAUGGAGUCCAACAAGACUAUGUAUGCUCAAAAUAUUAGCAUGUUUGAUUGACUUGUUAGCACGAGUUAGGAUAAAAGAAGAGAUAACAUAUUAUAUCUUAUGUUAACAAUGAGAUAUGAUAAGUUAUAUUCAACUUCAUUUUUUUGUAUCCUCUUUAAAUGAGAUAUAGUAAUCCUAAGUUGAAAUAUGAAAUAUACAUAUUCCAUGGAUCAUAAGUUUAUUUCUUUCAUCCAUUUUUUUUUUUCAUUUUUUAAAAGUAAAAUAUUUUGCAAAAAAAAAAAAAGGCUAAAAAAAUUAAAAUUUUAGUUUGGACAAAAAGAAUUUAAAAAAUACAUGUAGAAUACUACCGAAAUAAUACUAAUAUAUAGUAUUAUUUAAUAAUCUAUACAAAUGCUUUUAUAUAUUUAACAAAAUGAUGUGAUAUCUUUUACUUAUAAGUUUUAACUAUUUUAAUCAUAAAUAUUAUUAACAAAGAAAUAAAAUUUACUUAAUAAAUUAUAAACUCUAGAAAGAUUUCCAAAUGAUACUAAACAUGUCAGAAAUUUCAUAUAUAUUUUUCAAAGUAGCAAAGAUUGUUGUGAAAAACAUUUUUUAUUUUGAAAAACAAUUAAAACAUUGAAAUGCAAUGUCUUUCGUUUUGUUGUUUAAAUAUCCCAUGGCAUCAUCUGCAAUAUAAUAUCAAGAAUAUCAUAUUACUUGUAAAUAAUCUUCUAAGAUAUCCUUAGAUAUGUAUAUCCUAUCAUGCAUAGUACUCCUAUGAUCCGUAAAUCCUAUCAUAUCAAAUGAGACAAUUUCAUAUAUCAAAGAAAACACCCAAAGAUUGCAACACAUUUACGAAAAGAUAAAUUAAUAAAAUAUUUAAAUUAUAUAGGGGUAAAUAAAACCAUAUAUAAAAACAAAAAAUAAAUAAAUAUAAUAAACAUAAAUUGUAAGUCAUCUAUAACAAAACUUUGGUUUGUUGUUGAGCCAUGUUCAAAUCUUUUUGGCCUUAUGUUUACAACAUGAGUCUCUUGCUUUGUUCCAAAUUUCCAAUGAAGCAUGUAGGCUUGGCCUGAGGUAACAGUUUUUUUCUUCACAUAGGGUUUCUUUUCUUUCUUUCUUUCAUUCUUUCUUUGUUGAGAAGCUCCUCAUUGUCAAGUCCUGAUCAAUCCCUCAUUUUGCCAAGACUCCAAGACUUGUUAAGAAAGAAAACAGAGCUCAGAAGAAAUUAACUCAAAAUCUCACAUCACAUUGUUGAUAAUAUCAAGUGUUUUUUUUUUUUUUUUCAUUGAAAUGAUGAAUUUCAAAUGUUUACAACACCCAUCAAUGUGUGGGGGAGAAGUUCAUGAUUAACAAAGAAAAAUAAUGAGACUUUGAUGGAAGGUAAUGACUGAAACCAAUCUGCUUCUUCAGCUGUAACAAGGGAACAUAUCCAAAGAAGAUGAAUAAGAACCAACCUAAGCUUCCCAACCCCUUAGCGUCGUGGCACAAGCAACUCGCUUCACAUUGAAUGUGAACCCACUCAAAAUAGUUCACGGUCACACCUCCAGCAUUAGCAUAGAUGUCGGGGAGGAUUACAACUCCCUUCUUGGAUAGAAUCUGCAAAGAUAAUAUAUUGUCAAUGCAAACUUCCUUCCUCUAUGGCAAUUAAGUAUGCACCAUGCACAAACACUAUGUUACCUCAUUAGCUUCCGGAUGAUGAUUUGCUGCUUCUAUUAUGAACUUUGCCUUAACAUCCNNNNNNNNNNNNNNNNNNNNNNNNNNNNNNNNNNNNNNNNNNNNNNNNNNNNNNNNNNNNNNNNNNNNNNNNNNNNNNNNNNNNNNNNNNNNNNNNNNNNCCCUCAUUUUGCCAAGACUCCAAGACUUGUUAAGAAAGAAAACAGAGCUCAGAAGAAAUUAACUCAAAAUCUCACAUCACAUUGUUGAUAAUAUCAAGUGUUUUUUUUUUUUUUUUCAUUGAAAUGAUGAAUUUCAAAUGUUUACAACACCCAUCAAUGUGUGGGGGAGAAGUUCAUGAUUAACAAAGAAAAAUAAUGAGACUUUGAUGGAAGGUAAUGACUGAAACCAAUCUGCUUCUUCAGCUGUAACAAGGGAACAUAUCCAAAGAAGAUGAAUAAGAACCAACCUAAGCUUCCCAACCCCUUAGCGUCGUGGCACAAGCAACUCGCUUCACUGCCAAUGUGAAGGCUCCCAUUCGAAGACUGCAGUUGUGCGAUUGACACAUUUCCUUAAUGUUAUGAAAGCUUUGGUCAUAUACUUCUGAAGCUCAUUAUUCACCUUCUCUUCUUCCCACAUAAAACCUUGAAUAUUCUGCCAAUGUGACAUCUUAGGAUUAAUGGUUUUACGUUGGCAGAAUAUUCAAGGUUUUAUGUGGGAAGAAGAGAAGGUGAAUAAUGGGCUUGAGAAGUACAUGACCAAAGCUUUUCAUAACAUUAAGGCAAUGUGUCAAUCGCACAACUGCAGUCUUCGAAUGGGAGCCUUCACAUUGGCAGUGAACCCACUCAAAAUAGUUCACGGUCACACCUCCAGCAUUAGCAUAGAUGUCGGGGAGGAUUACAACUCCCUUCUUGGAUAGAAUCUGCAGAGAUAAUAUAUUGUCAAUGCAAACUUCCUUCCUCUAUGGCAAUUAAGUAUGCACCAUGCACAAACACUAUGUUACCUCAUUAGCUUCCGGAUGAUGAUUUGCUGCUUCUAUUAUGAACUUUGCCUUAACAUCCGCAGCAUUUUCUCUUCAGAGGGGAAAAAACAUGAAUGAGGUUAGAUGAAAUCAUCUGGAUGAGUUAGGUUAAAGGAAGUAAAAUCAUGCCUUUUUCCACUUUUUACCAUCAAAAGAUUUGUGUGGUUUCUAACCUGAAAAACGAUUGGAUAUUCACUUAAUAACUAAAUACAGCACAAGCACAUUUCAUGAAACUUCUGCCAACAAUUAAAGGGUAACAGAACACAUGUAACAUCUUUACCUAAAAAUUGGCAAUUCAUCGUAUGGCAAUUUGAUACAAUUGCAGCAUUCUGAUUCGAUCUUUCAGAUUCAACAUAGUAUCUCAAACAGAGUUGCAUCAUGUUUCUUCAUGGUAUUGAGAUGUGUCUACUUCAUUUUAUGUGUAUGUUCAUUGUUUUUAUGAUCUUAAUGUAUGGAAAAGACAAGUUUCUCAAUUCAAAAAAGGCCCAUGUCAAAAGAAACCCAAAACAAAAAAGGCACCGUAAAGAAGAAACUGAAAGGCAAGGAGCAAGUUUCUGAUGAAAACAAGGACUCAACUUGCUAAGAACUCCACCUAGAGCACAUGGGAUGAGAACAUCACAUUCAUGUGUGAGCAGUUCAUUCGGAUCCAUGUGAUCUCCGCCACUGAAAUUCGUUAGACAACCAGUCUCUUCUUUGUGCCUAAGCAAAUCCACUAUAUCAAGCCCAUUUUGGUUCUUAACAGCUCCAGUGACAUCACUCACCGCUAUGAUUUUACCACCUCUCUCAUGGAUGAGUCUUGCUACCCAAGAUCCAACAUUGCCAAAAUCCUGAAAAGUUUUUUUAUUUUCCAUUUAAAUAACCGAACUUUCUAACUACGCCAAGAACAGAAAUAGAAAGGAUUUAAUCCAAUAUUUUACCUGAAUAACAAAUGUCAAACCCUUAAUUGACUUCCCAUGUUGUGCAAGUAAAGCUUCAGUUGCGAAAACAACACCUUGACCAGUUGCAGCCUCCCUACCGAGGGAUCCACCAAGAUCCUAAAAGCCCAAAUGUAAAUGAGGCCACAGAACAAGAAACAACAGUUACAAAUUCGUUUCUCGACUUCAAAGGUUUACAUAAAUCUAAAUCAUAGAUGCUCAGUUUUUUGUCGCAAAUACUUACUAUUGCCUUUCCAGUCACUAUUUAUAAAUAUUUCCGUUCCAUGAAUGAGAGAAUAUUUCAAGAGUGUUACAGACAAAAGAUAACCUGAGCAUUAGUUCCCAUGUCUGGUGCAGGUAUAUCGGUAUGAGUUCCAAUAAGAUCAUGAAUCUUUUGAGUAAAGACACGAGUAAGACGUUCCAACUCGCUCAUACUCAAGUCCCUUGGGGUGCACCCAAUGCCACCCUUUGCACCACCAUAGGGAAUGUCAACUACAGCGGUCUUCCACGUCAUCAAUUGAGCCAGCGCAUUUACCUCAUCAGGAUCCACCUUUGAAAACAAAUGAAGAAACGUAUCAGUAAAACUAAAUGCAACCAGGUUUUUAUUUGCAAGAAAUCAAAGCAAACAAGUUUGAAGAUGAAAUAAUUCCUUCUAACUCAGCACCAACAAAAUUACGGGCGAACAACUUCUUGAAAGGAAAACAAAACAACUCAUUGAAUUUGAUUAUGCAAAUUGAGAACACACAAAUUAACAUAACAUCCAAAAUAGAAUUCAUCAUGCCACUCAUCAUUUAAAAUUCUAUAUCAAUAUCCAUAUCAUCCCAAAAAGAUUUUCGACUGUAUAAUAAUUAUCAGUUUUAUCGCAUAUUUCGGUUGGACCAUGUUUGCCAAAAUCAUUGAAAACAAUUUCCAAGAUUCAAAAAAAAAAAAAAAAAAUGCACAACCAACAUUUUGAUAUAGAAAUCUUGAACCUGAGAUUUCGAGAUAAUGAUCUUUGUACAAGAUACAAUAAGGGCAUGUUUGGAUCCAUCAUGAAAUGAAAUCAUUCCACUAUUCUUGCAUUUGAACAACUCCCUUUCCAUGGGACACCCAAAAACCACUUAGACAAAACCCAAAUCAACCGGAAAUUCCAAGAACCUAAAAGCAAACCCCCUAAACUCCGUUUGCUUGCCGAGAAAAUAGGGGGAAAAGACAAGAAAAAACAAACUACAAUCCUACAAUCCCGAAUCUCAUGUUCUGUGCUCCAAGAAAUUACAAAGUCAAGUAAGCCCCACAACAUACCUAGACUCUACUACCCUAACAAAAACAAAAAAUUUCAAAUCUCUCCUUUUCAUUCUCAACUUUUCUCAGCAAUCAAACAGGACAAAAUCCGAAAACAAACAAAAGAAUCAGUGAAUCACAAACCUAAGGGUGAUAUCUGAUCCCUCCCUUCAUGGGCCCACGAGCAUUAUCAUGCUGCACACGGAACCCCACAUACGUUGCCAAACUUCCAUCAUCCUUCGGGAUCGCGCACUCCACCUAACAACACCACCACCAAAAGAUCAAAAUUCUGGAAAAAAUUCUCAGGAAACAAACACAACCCAUGAACUCAAAAACAAGAUUCUGGCUAAAGAAAAUAAAUAAAUAAAUAAAUAAUUCCCGGGAAUCAAACAGAACCCAUGAACAAAAACCCCAGAAUUCCAACCUUGAUCUCUCUGAAAGAUAUCAGAAGACUCUUCUCCAGCUUGGAGUCCAACCCAAGAAUGCGGGAAGCAUGGCGAAAAUUGCGGUUAGUGGCUGCUAGAGCAUUCAUUGCCACAAAAACAAAACCCAGAAUAGAAAACGAUUGCUAGAAAAAGAAACAGACCCAGAAAAAAAAAAAAAAGAAAUGCAAGAAAAUGAAAGAAAAAAUUGGAGAAUUGAAGAGUAGAAAGAGAUUACAAUAGAAAUGUGAAUGAACUGACUGAUUGAUAGAAGUAGAGAGCAAGAGGGAGGGACCGGAGGAGGGCAGUUAAGGCGCUCAAGAUGGCAUGUCGGGCAGUUAAGGCGCUCCAGAUGGCAUGUUCAGGUUGUUACAAUCCCCUCUCGAUUAUGCAGAGCUGACUACACGUGCCCUUCCCGCUACCCAAAAUUACUAAAACACCCUUUUCCUUCCCAAACCUAUUUUCUAAUUUCUCUUUUCUAUUUUAAAAAUUAGAAGCUAAAAUGGAAAAUAAUCCUCACUUUAAAAAAUACCUUCAAUUUUUUUAAUUAUAAAUAUAAUAUUAAUUAAUUAUAAAAAAAUUAAUUUUUCAUUUAAAAAAGUGUCUUAAUAUAAAAAAAUAGAGGAUAUUUUAAGCCUCUAUAAAAUAUAUCUUAAUUUAAUUUUAAAUGGACAACAAACCCUUUUUAUUUUAUUUUAUAAAAUAAUGCUCUAUGAAAUAAAUGUGAAUUUAUUAGGGGGUAUUUCAUGCCCAGAAAAAAGUUAUUUUAAAAUUGAAUUUUUUUCAUUUAAAAAUUAUUUUAUUCAAUUUAAUCAAUUUUUUACUUUAACAAAGAUGGAAAAAGAGAGAGAUUAUUUUAGGAAAUAAAAAAUUGGGACCAUUUUGGUAAUUGUGUUUUAAAACGGUUUUGAAAAAUAGUUUUUAAGAACAGUUUUUAAAAAUCCUUUUUUGAUGUUUUGUAGAACAAAAGUCUGUUUUGAGAGCUUAAAAUGUUUAUAAUUUUUUUUAACCAAACUUUUAUUAGAACCAAACUUUUGUCCCAAUAGAAAAGAGACAAAAAAACAUACUAGAAUAAAUACCAGAUAUUAGAAUCACGGAUUUGUCAUUUUUCCUCAAAAAAUUUCAUUUUCCUCAUAAACUUCAACAAACGUUUGCAUCUUAAAGGGCUUUAAUCUUUGGAUGAUAACAAACCAUUUAUGCUAAAAUAGUCGUGAAGGACGUAAACAAAAGAGAAAACCAAAAGCAAUGGGGAAAAAAAAAUUCUGAAAACUGAGAUUCCGAGAUGGGAAAAAAAUAGGAAAGUGUAAAAAACUUUAUAUAAAACAAGCCAAAAAAAAGAUUGGGACCAACCUCAACCUUAAUGUUUUGUAACUCCAACAAUGUCUCUCUCACAGUGGUCCACUGGUGGGGCUAGGGUUUUGAAGAAAAAAAUUACAUAGAGAAUAAAACACGACAUGGGAAGUUGGGAAAGUAAACAAAAAUAGUAUAAAAAAUUAGGUUUUAUGUUUAUGUUGAUUGAUGGGGGCUAUUUUGAACAUUAGUUUUGGAAGAAACCCACUUUUAAUAGUAAGUUUACGAAGAAGCCCAUUUUGGCCCAAAACUCGCGAAUGGCUAUCUUAGCAAAAAAAAACUAAGUUUUGGGGCAAAAUAGCCCUUUCAUGUAAAGAAAUAUCAACUUUAGUCCCCUUAUAAAAUUUAUGUUCAAAUUAGCCAUUUUAUUGCCACAUAGAAGCCAUGUAAUAAUUUUUUUUUUUCCAAAUUUAAAUUGAAGCCUCAGUUGCCAAUUGAGGCUUCAGUUAUUUUAUUUUUUUUGCUUUAAAAUUUAAUUAAAAAUAUUAAAUUUUAAAUUAUUAUUGAAAUUUUAAAAAAAUAUACUUUAAUAAUAAAAAUUUACAUAUUUAAACUUAAAGAUCUAAUAUUACUUCAAUAAAGAUAAUUUGAUAAAUAUAAGAAAUAAAUAUUUUAUUUAUCAAUUAAUUAAUAAUCUUAAAAUAAUAAAUUUAUAUGACAUAUAAAUAAAAUAUAAAAUUAUAUAAUUUAUUAAUUUAAGUUAUAUCACAUGUAAUAUUAGGGAGGGACCUUUUUUUUCCAUUAUAUAAAUGUUUAAUGAGUUUUUUUUUUGUGACUUUGAUGAAACUACUAAAAAUUACAUUUUAUAGUAGUCUUUUUCUAAUUAAUUUUAUUAACUAAUUUCAAAAUGUAUCUUUAAGACAUAUAUAUUGUGUGCAUAAAUAAUAGUUUUUUUUUUACGUUAAAUUAUAAUAUAUGCUUUAAAAUAAUUAAAAAAAUCUAUAUAUGGAAACUUAAGAAUAUACUAAUAUUUCAAUAAAAAUAAAUUUAUAAAAAUACAAAUAAAUUAAUAUAUUAAAAAUACAACAAAUUAAAUAUCUUAAAUUAAUAAAUUAUAUAAUUUUAUAUCUUAUUUAGAUUUCAUAUAACUUUAUUAAUUUAUUGAUAAAUAAAAUAUUCAUUUAUUAUUAUAUUUAUUAAUUUAUCUUUAUUGAAGUAAUAUUACAUCUUUAAGUUUAAAUAUAUAAAUUUUUAUUAUUAAAAUAUAUUUUUUUAAUUUCAAUAAUAAUUUAUAAUUUAAUAUUUUUAAUUAAAUUUUAAAGUAAAAAUAAUAAUAAUAAUAAUAAUUAUAACUGAAGCCUCAAUUGCCAAUUGAGAAUUUAGUUAAAAAAUGAAGGCUCAAGGCUGAGACUUCAACUUAAAUUUUGAAAAAAAAAAAAUUAUGACAUGACUCUUAUGUGGCAAUAAAAGGGCUAAUUUGAACAUAAGUUUUGUAAGGGGGCUAAAACUGAUAUUUCUUUACACGAAAGGGCUAUUUUGCCCCAAAACUCAAAAAAGCUCACGUGUUUUGCCAUGUCUAUCCUGAUGACGUGGAUAUCUUAUUUUUAAAAUGGCAGUGUUGUCCCAAGUGGUUUCCUUUCUUUCUUUUUCUUUUUCUUUUUCUAAUAACCUUCCACGUUCACAGAUGAAAAGUUAUUGUUUAAUUAAAUAAUUUAAAUAGUUUAACUUUUAUUAAAUUUUAGCAAUACUUCUAGAAGUUUCUUCUUAAAAGUUUUAUAGAAAAUACAAGAGAAAAAAAAUAAAAACCCACCUUAAAUUUUUUUUUUUGUCAAAAUUAUUAUUUUAAAGUAAUAAUAAUAAUAUAAAAAAUAUCCAUUUAAAAAAGUAAAUUAAUACAUAAAUAUCAAAUAGAGCUUCUAAUUAAAAAUUAAGGAUGUGUUUGGUAAUUGUUUUCGAAAACAAUUUUGAAAAAUAGAUUUUUAGAACAGUUUUUGAAAGCUAUUCUCUGAUUUUUGUAGAACAACCCUGAAGUAUCUAGAGAUCUUGUACACUCAAGAUCUUCUGUUUGAUGACUUUAUCUCAAUCUUAGCACUUUAAAGGAUGGGUCUUUGGAAGAGAGGAUAGUAUGAUUCUCUUCUCUUUAGAGGUGGUUGAAACCCUAACCCUUAAGAGGUAUUUACAGGAUUCUCUAAUUAGGUUUAAGUGACUUAAACUCACUAAAGGCUUGGGUCACUUAAUUUAACCCAAAAUGGGUCCUAAUGAUUAAUUAACCUCACAAAGCCAUCUAAUUAAUUAAUUAAUUAUCUCAAUCCAGAGACUUGUUCACUAACCCAUUUGCAACCUCUCAUAAUUAUACCAAAGUGUUUUUAUGUACAAAAGUGAAUCUAGAGCUAAUCCAAUCCUCAUAAAUAGUGUCAUCAAGGUAUAUGAGUUCGAUGAGGAACCACUAGAGCCCAUAGGAAUACUAGCUUCCUCAAAAUCCAAUUUUGAAGUUGAUUCAAUACCCCAUUACAGAGAAUCAAUUACACUCCAAUACCCAAUAUAAAUAACAACGAGACAAAAACUCAGGUCUGUGACUUACUAUUUACUACAUGCAAACUGUCUAUGAACUAGUGUUCAUAAUAAAACAAGGUAGUGUUAUCACCUAUCAAGAUUACCUCUCCAAUAAUUGAGCCACAUAUCUCACUUAUUAUGCGAUUAAAUGACAUAUUGUAGUUUAUAAAAAGCUUAUGUCAAAUUCCACUUAAGGAAUUAUUGUGCGCCAUAGAUGUCCUAAUCGCAUGUCAUUUGGAUCACCCAAAGGAACACACUAUUACAAUCCCAUGAAAUAUCAUGGUGCCUCUAAUGAGCACACCUAUUACUUUCGGCUUCCAUCAAUAAUGACCCAAUCCAUGGGAAAUAUAUAAUCAACUCAUGAUUUCACUCGUAGGUCAAAGUCAUUACUAACUUUUACACAAGCUCAAUAUCUUUUCAAGGUUGAGAGUCCAUGCAGUAUAGUAGCUUGGUAAAUCAUGAUUAUCAAUAGUUUGCGUUAUGAUUUAUCAUAAGUCUUGUCUAAUGUGCAUCACAUACACUAGUGUUCUCACCAUGAAAAACUCAUCCCGAUGGCCAAGAUAAACUAUCUCUCUAAUUAGGAGGUGGUGUGCUACUACAAUCCAUGAACUAAUUGUGGACAACUUAUUUACUUACAAGAAACUCAUGAUUUGUAUCCUUUAUGUAACUUCUAGUGCACCUAAGUCAUGUACAAUAUAAGAAAUAUAGAUUGAAUGUUCUAAUCAAUGUCAACAUAUCCAAGGGAUAACAAUGGGAUAGUAAAAUCUAAUUUUGUUGUUGUUGGGAACUCUAAAUUACUCCAUUCCCAUGCCUUGGAUCGUAUAAGGUGCAUGCAAAUCUAUCAUAGGCUCUCUAAAUCUAUCACAACGGAUAAGCUUGUAUUCAAUAACAAUAUGGAUAUCAUAGAAAACAUACAUAUGGAGAAUAAAACCACAUACCUUUGAUCCAGAUAUUCCUAGAUCAAUUUCAAUCGAUGUAGAUAACUCUAAAGUCAUAAAGGGUCUCAUAAACACCAUGAUCUUCCUCCCGAUGACUCUUCCUUGUAUCUAGGCACUAAGAUAGUAGACAUCUCAAUGAUGGUUAUGGUUCUCUCUCCAGACUGAAGGGGAGAAUGGUAAGACUUAGAAACCCUAACCGUUAAAGGAGUAUUUAUAGACUUUUUAUUGGGUUUAAGUGACUUAAACCCACCAUGGGUUUGUGACACUUAAUUUAGCCUAAAAAGGUUGCUAAUUGAUUAAUUAACCAUAUAAAGCUUAAUUAAUCAAUUAGUUUAGUUCAAAGAUAUCACUAACUUAUCUCUUAUGCAACCUUACAUAAUUACCAAAACGCCCUUAUGCACAAAAAUGAACUAAAAACCCAUCCAACCAUCAUAAGUCGUACUAAUAAGGAAUAUGAGCUUAGAACGGGGACCAUUGGGACCUAUAGGAGUAUUGACUCCCUCAUAAUCAAAUUUUGAAAUUCACUCAACAUCCCAUUAUAGAGAGUUAAUUGUACUCUAAUAUCCUAAAUAUAUUACAACAAGACCUCAAGUGUUUUGGUUCGUGACCUACUAUCCACUGCAUACAGACUCCCCAUAAACUAGUAUCUAUAAUCUAAUAAGGUAGUGAUAUCACUUAUCAAGAUUACCUCUUAAAUCCUUGAGUUAUAGAUCCUAAUUAUUAUGUGAUUAGUUGACAUACUCUAACUCCAAGAUGCAUAUGUCAAAUUGCGUUAAAGGAAUUAUUGUGGCCAUAAAUUUCAUGAUCGCAUGUUCUUUGGAUCAUCUAAGGGAACACACUAUCUCAAUCCUAUGAGAUAUCAUUGUGUCUCUGUUGAGAAUACUUAUUGUCACCAACCUCCAUCAACAGUAACUCAAUCCAUAGGGAUAUUUGAUCACUUUAAGGUCUUACCCAUAAGUCAAAGCCUCUUAUUGAUUUUGACACAAACUCAAUAUCCUCUUCAAGUUGAGAGUCUAUGUAGUAUAAUAGCUUGGUGAAUCAUGACAAUUGAUAGUCUUGCGUCAUGAUUCACCAUAGGUCAUUUCCAAUGUGCAUCACAUACAUUAGUGCAUUCACCAGGAGAAACCUAUGACUUGCUGGAUUGCCCAAAUCCAUAGACCAACUAUGGACAACUUAUCUACUUACAAGGAACCCAUAACUUGUAUCUUCUGUGCAACUCUUAUUGCACCCAGGUCAUGUACAAUGUAAGAGACAUUGGUUGAAUGCUCAAAUUAAUAGCAAUACACCACAUGGAUAGCAAGGGGAUAGUUAAGUCUAACUUUGUUAUAUCAUGUCUUGCUUUUAAGGGCUAAAUCCUAACAAUUACAUCAUGUCUUGAUUUUAGGAACUCAAUUCCAACAAUAUACUAUCUCAACCCCAUGAUAUUAUGAUACCUUUAUUAAGAAUAUCUAUUACUAUAUGCUUAAACUACCAAUCACUAAAUCCAUAGGAAAUACAUGAUUAUAUUAGUAUCUCACUCGUAAGGUCAAAGUCGCUAAUGAAAAAACUAAUGCAACAUUCUCUUAAAGUUAAGAACUCAUGUAACAUAGUAGUUUGGAGAAGUUAUGUCAACCUGAUAGUCAUUCAAUCAUGACACUUCGUAGAACUUGUACAAUGUAACCAUACACACUAGUACAUAUACCAUGAGAAAACCCAUCUCGAUGACCAAGACUAGUGAUCCUACCAUUUUGGAGGUAAUGAAUUAUGGCUUCUAAGUUGUUAAAGUUUAUGAAUAUCAUCUUGUAAAGAACCCAUGACUUGGAUCUUCCAUACAACUCCUAGUGUAUUCAAGUCAUAUAAAAUAUAAAUGAUAUUGAACUAAAUGCUCGAACAAGUAAAUAAUCAAAUAGAUAAUGCAAAUAAGAUAGAAAAAUUAAUGCCAUAUAAAAUAAUGAAUCAAGUUUGCUAAAUCAUAUCUCUACUUUGAAGAGCUCUAUCCUAAUAGAUACACUAUUCACACCUAGGUAUGAACUUCUAACAAUUGAAUUUCAUGGUAUCAACACGUUAGAGUUGAGAAGGGUUUCAUGUGGAAGGACAUAUGGAGUGUGAAUGCUCUUGUUUUAUCUUAGUUGAUGUAGUGAAAGAUUACCUUUUGAUAUAUGCUUGCUUGGAUUUUUGGUCCAUCUCUAUCAAUGUGUGCUUUUCUGGAUUAGGAUGAUCACUUCUAUUCUUUUUUAUGUAAGUGUCCUAAUAAGGUUACUGAUUUUUAGCAAGGAAAUCCUUUCCAUUGCCUUAGGUUUUGCUUUCCUUAUUCCAUUUGCUUUUGGUGAUGCUAAGAAAACUAAUUACUCAUUCUCUAAUUAAUCCAACUAGAAUAAGAUAACCGGAUUUGUGUUUCACAUAGAAGAUGCUAUGUUACCAUCUACAGAAGGAUAAGGAUCCUCUGAAAAAGUCAUAUAGGAGAUAUGUAUCACUUGAUAACCCUUGGACUUUGUAAAAGGCAAUAAAAGGGGGGUUAGACAACAACAUAGGAUAAAAGAUUAAAAAAACAAAAAACAAAACAAAAGAGGAUAGAUGGGAGGGGAACAUUGUCUUACCUUAAUAACCCUCCUCCAAAGGCAUAAGGGGAAGGUUGUCCUUACUUAACGACCUUCUUAACCUCUUGUAGCUAGGAGACAUCCUUAUUCUCUCAUAUUUUUUUAAGAGCCAAGGAUCUCCAAGACAUCACACCCACCAUUUCCAUUGAGGAAAAUGUAUUAGGUUUUAAGUCUCUUGACCUAGUAGAAGAUAAGAAACUUCUCUAAAUCCACAUGGUAGCUUGGAGUCAUGUUCAUGACCACGACUGUCAUGAGAAGACUCACAAUAUCAGGAUUGAAUUGAUACAACAACACUCUCACAAAACUAAAGAAAAAAUACCUCACUAACGUUUGAAGCAGUAGCCAUAAUCCAAACUUCAAAUGCUCUAUUGGAAUGUAUCUCUUGACAACAUAUGGAGGCUAGAUUAAUUCCUCUGGAAACAACCAUAAAAACUUCACGGAGAAAAGGAUUUCUAAUUGUUGGUUUAACAUAAUAACAUCUCUAAAGGGAGUCAUAGGUGCUAUCUUGAAGACAAAAAAAAGUUAGAUAAAAUGGAGAAAAGUUGCAAGGAUAAAGGAAUAAGGGUAGAAGAAGGCAAGAAAGCAAAAUCACAAAAGUAGAAGAAGAAAAUCAAUAGAGAAACACCUUUUAUAUAGGUUGCCAAGUCAUAACCACUCCAAGAAUCAAGGCAAACACCCUUAUCAUGGCUUGCCUACUAAUCUCUUGGAAAAAGAAUCCAUUUGUCACAUUGACUUUUGAUUUUCCUGCAUGUUAAAUCCUAAAAGCAAGGAAAUAGGAGGUGAGAAGUUGUAGGAAAAAAAAAAUGAAAUGUGGAAACAAAAGGCAUAAGUGGCUAGUUAUCAGCAGAGGUAAUCGGGGGUGCCUAUUGAGUGGUGAAUUGGUCUAUAUCCUUGUACCAUCCAUCCUUAACAAGAAAGAUCUCUAACUCUUAGGAGCAUUUAAUGUGAUGUGAUAGAUAUUAAAUAUGAUUGGAUGAUACUCUCAUGGUUACAAAAUGUUUAAGGCCACACCCUAAACCGAGAAAUCUCUAAUCAUUAUCUAAUAUUGAGGUAUGGACAUUUAAGCACCGAUCAACCAUCGACAUGGUAACCACUCUUAACUAACUUAAACCCUUCCUUUAAAUACCUCUAAAGGCAUCAACAAUAAAGGUAGAAAAGAACCAUUCCAUUUCUCCCUUUGAUUUCUACUUAUCAUAACCUUGUUUUUUUCGGUGCACCAUAUGAUCGUUCGAGGUGUAGUGGUCAUUUUGCACCUACCCGCCCUUACCCCCACCUUGACUACCUUUUGUCCAUCCAUUAUAGUAGCAAGUCGACCUAGUAAUUCCUUUAACAAAUGUCUUCUUCAUUAAGGCAAUAAAGAGGAUACAACAAUAUCUAAUAUCAUUUAACCAAUAUUUUUACCUUAGAUAUAUGUAUCAUUUAAUUUUCAUUAUGGAGUCCAACAAGACUAUGUAUGCUAAAAAGAUUAGCAUGUUUGAUUGACUUGUUAGCACGAGUUAGGAUAAAAGAAGAGAUAACAUAUUAUAUCUUAUGUUCGGUUAACAAUGAGAUAUGAUAAGUUAUAUUCAACUUCAUUUUUUUGUAUCCUCUUUAAAUGAGAUAUAGUAAUUCCUAAGUUGAAAUAUGAAAUAUACAUAUUCCAUGGAUCAUAAGUUUUUUUUCUUUCAUCCAUUUUUUUUUCAUUUUUUAAAAGUAAAAUAUUUUGUAAAAUAAAAAAAAAAUGACUAAAAAAAUUAAAAUUUUAGUUUGGACAAAAAGAAUUUAAAAAAUACAUGUAGAAUAUUUUACUUAUAAGUUUUAAAUAUUUUAAUCAUAAAUAUUAUUAACAAAGAAAUAAAAUUUACUUAAUAAAUUAUAAACUUUAGAAAGAUUUCCAAAUGAUACCAAACAUGUUAGAAAUUUCAUAUAUUUUUUUCAAAGUAGCAAAGAUUGUUAUGAAAAACAUUUUUUAUUUUGAAAAACAAUUAAAACAUUGAAAUUUCAUUCUGUUGUUUAAUCCUUUUUUAAACCAAAUAAGAGAUCAAUCUAAUAUAUCUCAUCUAAUAUAAUAUCGUUUUUUUCUUCACAUAGGGUUUCUUUUCUUUCUUUGUUGAGAAGCUCCUCAUUGUGAAGUCCUGAUCAAUCCCUCAUUUUGCCAAGACUCCAAGACUUGUUAAGAAAGAAAACAGAGCUCAAAAGAAAUUAACUCAAAAUCUCACAUCACAUUGUUGAUAAUAUCAAGUGUUUUUUUUUUUUCAUUGAAAUGAUGAAUUUCAAAUGUUUACAACACCCAUCAAUGUGUGGGGGAGAAGUUCAUGAUUGACAAAGAAAAAUAAUGAGACUUUGAUGGAAGGUAAUGACCGAAACCAAUCUGCUUCUUCAGCUGUAACAAGGGAACAUAUCCAAAGAAGAUGAAUAAGAACCAACCUAAGCUUCCCAACCCCUUAGCGUUGUGGCACACGCAACUCGAUUCACUGCCAAUGUGAAGGCUCCCAUUCGAAGACUGCAGUUGUGCGAUUGACACAUUGCCUUAAUGUUAUGAAAAGCUUUGGUCAUGUACUUCUGAAGCUCAUUAUUCACCUUCUCUUCUUCCCACAUAAAACCUUGAAUAU
rnacentral:lncRNA from 1 species